GGAAUAUUAGUAAUGGGCGAAAGCCUGAACUAGCAACGCCGCGUGUGCGAAGAAGGCCUUCGGGUUGUAAAGCACUUUUUGAGAGGAUGAGGAAGGACGGUACUCUCAGAAUAAGUCUCGGCUAACUACGUGCCAGCAGCCGCGGUAACACGUAGGAGGCAAACGUUAUCCGGAUUUACUGGGCGUAAAGCGCGUGUAGGUGGUUUGGUAAGUAGGGCGUGAAAGCUCCUGGCUCAACUGGGAGAGGACGUUCUAAACUGCCAAGCUUGAGGAUGGUAGAGGGAGGUGGAAUUCCGGGUGUAGCGGUGGAAUGCGCAGAUAUCCGGAGGAACACCAGUGGCGAAGGCGGCCUCCUGGACCACUCCUGACACUCAGACGCGAAAGCUAGGGUAGCAAACGG
rnacentral:rRNA from 1 species